rnacentral:rRNA from 1 species
UACAGAGGUCUCGAGCGUUAGGCGGAAUCACUGGGCUUAAAGCGUGUGUAGGCGGAUUGCUAAGUACCUUGUGAAAUCCCACGGCUUAACCGUGGAACUGCUUGGUAUACUGGCUGUCUUGAGCCACUUAGGGGCGACCGGAACAAACGGUGGAGCGGUGAAAUGCGUAGAUAUCGUGAGGAAGACCAGUGGCGAAGGCGGAUCUCUGGACAGUUACUGACACUGAGGCACGAAGGCCAGGGGAGCAAACGGG